rnacentral:rRNA from 1 species
GGCUCAGGACGAACGCUGGCGGCGUGCUUAACACAUGCAAGUCGAACGAUGAAGCCCUUCGGGGUGGAUUAGUGGCGAACGGGUGAGUAACACGUGGGCAAUCUGCCCUUCACUCUGGGACAAGCCCUGGAAACGGGGUCUAAUACCGGAUAAUACUCCUGCCUGCAUGGGCGGGGGUUAAAAGCUCCGGCGGUGAAGGAUGAGCCCGCGGCCUAUCAGCUUGUUGGUGGGGUAAUGGCCCACCAAGGCGACGACGGGUAGCCGGCCUGAGAGGGCGACCGGCCACACUGGGACUGAGACACGGCCCAGACUCCUACGGGAGGCAGCAGUGGGGAAUAUUGCACAAUGGGCGAAAGCCUGAUGCAGCGACGCCGCGUGAGGGAUGACGGCCUUCGGGUUGUAAACCUCUUUCAGCAGGGAAGAAGCGAAAGUGACGGUACCUGCAGAAGAAGCGCCGGCUAACUACGUGCCAGCAGCCGCGGUAAUACGUAGGGCGCAAGCGUUGUCCGGAAUUAUUGGGCGUAAAGAGCUCGUAGGCGGCUUGUCACGUCGGAUGUGAAAGCCCGAGGCUUAACCUCGGGUCUGCAUUCGAUACGGGCUAGCUAGAGUGUGGUAGGGGAGAUCGGAAUUCCUGGUGUAGCGGUGAAAUGCGCAGAUAUCAGGAGGAACACCGGUGGCGAAGGCGGAUCU